UGGGUUAGUCCGCACGAGCGCACCUCACUUAUUGUUGCCAGCAGUUUAGCUGGGGACUCAAUAGGAACUGCCGGUGAUAAACCGGAGGAAGGCGAGGAUGACGUCAAGUCCUCAUGGCCCUUAUGAGCUGGGCUACACACGUGCUACAAUGGCGUUUACAAUGGGCAGCGACUAGGUGACUAUGAGCUAAUCCACAAAAGACGUCUCAGUUCGAAUUGCACUCUGCAACUCGAGUGCAUGAAGUUGGAAUCGCUAGUAAUCGCAGAUCAGCAUGCUGCGGUGAAUACGUUCUCGGGUCUUGUACACACCGCCCGUCACACCACGGGAGUUGGUUUUACCUUAAGGCAGUAAGCUAACCUGUAAGGGAGGCAGCUGACCACGGUGGAAUUAGCGACUGGGGUGAAGUCGUAACAAGGUAGCAGUAGGGGAACCUGCAGCUGGAUCACCUCCUUUCU
rnacentral:rRNA from 1 species